rnacentral:rRNA from 1 species
CCCGACUGAACUUAAGCAUAUCUAAUAAGCGCGAGGAAAGAGAAACCAACAGGGAAUUGCCUCAGUAACUGCGAGUGAAGCUGGCACACAGCUCAAAUUGCGAAAUCUGGGCUCUUUUAGAGGUCCGAGCUAGUAAUGAGUAGACGAUGCAUUGGCAUUGGCUCCGGACUAACUCCCUUGGAACAUGACGUCAUCGAGGGUGAGAAUCCCGUAUGUGAUCGGUAGCCUUUGCCAUGUGAAGCUCCUUCGACGAGUCGAGUUGUCUGGGAAUGCAGCUCGAUAUGGGAGGUAAAUUUCUACUAGANGCUACAUUAGCUGGCCCAUGNAGACCCGCACUANGCCGCCGACGAUGGUUAAGAAAGUUUGGAUUGCGGGGAAAAG